rnacentral:rRNA from 1 species
GUACACACCGCCCGUCACAUCAUGGGAGUCGGAAAUGCCCGAAGUCGGUGACCUAACCCCUGGUAUGCAUGACAAUAGUAAAUCCUGACGGAUUAACUAUACGAGGAUCUGCGAUCCUCGGACAUGAGUCAGGAGAGAGACAGAAAUGAGGUCGUGCAUAGCAGGGGGAAGGAGCCGCCGAAGGCAGGUCGGAUGACUGGGGUGAAGUCGUAACAAGGUACC